rnacentral:rRNA from 1 species
GCAGUAGCCGCGGUAAUACAGAGGGUGCAAGCGUUAAUCGGAAUUACUGGGCGUAAAGCGCGCGUAGGUGGUUUGUUAAGUUGGAUGUGAAAUCCCCGGGCUCAACCUGGGAACUGCAUCCAAAACUGGCAAGCUAGAGUAUGGUAGAGGGUGGUGGAAUUUCCUGUGUAGCGGUGAAAUGCGUAGAUAUAGGAAGGAACACCAGUGGCGAAGGCGACCGCCUGGACUGAUACUGACACUGAGGUGCGAAAGCGUGGGGAGCAAACAGGAUUAGAUACCCCUGUAGUCCCUGUCUCUUAUAC